CCUACGGGGUGCAGCAGUAGGGAAUCUUUCACAAUGGGCGAAAGCCUGAUGGAGCAACGCCGCGUGCAGGAUGAAGGCCUUCGGGUUGUAAACUGCUUUUAUAAGCGAGAAAUAUGAUGGUAACUUAUGAAUAAGGAUCGGCUAACUACGUGCCAGCAGCCGCGGUCAUACGUAGGAUCCGAGCAUUAUCCGGAGUGACUGGGUGUAAAGAGUUGCGUAGGUGGCAUAAUAAGUAGCUAGUGAAAUCUGGUGGCUCAACCAUUCAGACUAUUAGCUAAACUGUUAAGCUCGAGACCGUUAGGGGUAACUGGAAUUUCUAGUGUAGGAGUGAAAUCCGUAGAUAUUAGAAGGAACACCAAUAGCGUAGGCAGGUUGCUGGGACGAUUCUGACACUAAGGCACGAAAGCGUAGGGAGCAAACGGGAUUAGAUACCCCAGUAGUC
rnacentral:rRNA from 1 species